GCUUCGUUGGUGUAGUCGGUUAUCACGUCGGUCUCAUAUAUUAUCUAUAUAUGACUACUCAACAGCAGUAGAGCCAUCCGAAGGCCGCCAGUUCGAAUCUGGCACGGAGCA